rnacentral:rRNA from 1 species
GUAAACGGCGGCCGUAACUAUAACGGUCCUAAGGUAGCGAAAUUCCUUGUCGGGUAAGUUCCGACCUGCACGAAUGGCAUAAUGAUGGCGGCGCUGUCUCCAGCAGAGACUCAGUGAAAUCGAAUUCGCCGUGAAGAUGCGGUGUACCCGCGGCUAGACGGAAAGACCCCGUGAACCUUUACUGCAGCUUGACAUUGAACUUUGAUCUUACUUGUGUAGGAUAGGUGGGAGGCUUUGAAGUGGUGACGCUAGUUGCCAUGGAGCCGUCCUUGAAAUACCACCCUGGUAAUAUUGAGGUUCUAACUCUGCUCCCUGAUCGGGAGCGAGGACCAUGUCUGGUGGGUAGUUUGACUGGGGCGGUCUCCUCCUAAAGAGUAACGGAGGAGUACGAAGGUGCGCUCAGACCGGUCGGAAAUCGGGCGUAGAGUAUAAAGGCAAAAGCGCGCUUAACUGCGAGACCCACAAGUCGAGCAGGUACGAAAGUAGGUCUUAGUGAUCCGGUGGUUCUGUAUGGAAGGGCCAUCGCUCAACGGAUAAAAGGUACUCCGGGGAUAACAGGCUGAUACCGCCCAAGAGUUCAUAUCGACGGCGGUGUUUGGCACCUCGAUGUCGGCUCAUCUCAUCCUGGGGCUGAAGCAGGUCCCAAGGGUAUGGCUGUUCGCCAUUUAAAGAGGUACGCGAGCUGGGUUUAGAACGUCGUGAGACAGUUCGGUCCCUAUCUACCGUGGGCGCUGGAAAUUUGAGAGGAUCUGCUCCUAGUACGAGAGGACCAGAGUGGACGAACCUCUGGUGUACCGGUUGUGACGCCAGUCGCAUCGCCGGGUAGCUAUGUUCGGAAGGGAUAACCGCUGAAAGCAUCUAAGCGGGAAGCCUACCUCAAGAUAAGAUUUCCC